AUUGAACGCUGGCGGCAUGCCUUACACAUGCAAGUCGAACGGCAGCACGGGUGCUUGCACCUGGUGGCGAGUGGUGAACGGGUGAGUACUACAUCGGAACGUACCUUACCGUGGGGGAUAACGUAGCGAAAGCUGUGCUAAUACCGCAUACGACCUGAGGGGGAAAGCGGGGGAUCGCAAGACAUCGCCCGAUUAGACCGGCCGAUGCCUGAUUAGCUUGUUGGUGGGGUAAAAGCCCACCAAGGCGACGAUCAGUAGCUGGUCUGAGAGGACGAUCAGCCAUACUGGGACUGAGACACGGCCCAGACUCCUACGGGAGGCAGCAGUGGGGAAUUUUUGACAAUGGGGGCAACCCUGAUCCAGCAAUGCCGCGUGAGUGAAGAAGGCCUUCGGGUUGUAAAGCUCUUUUGUCAGGGAAGAAACAGCAGCUCUAACACAGUUUGCGAAUGACGGUACCUGAAGAAUAAGCACCGGCUAACUACGUGCCAGCAGCCGCCGUAA
rnacentral:rRNA from 1 species